UGGGCGAGUAAAGCAGCGAUGCGCUUAGGGAUGGGCCUGCGGCGGAUUAGGUAGUUGGUGGGGUAACGGCCUACCAAGCCGAUGAUCCGUAGGGGGCGUGAGAGCGUGGCCCCCCACACUGGCACUGAGACACGGGCCAGACUCCUACGGGAGGCAGCAGUGAGGAAUAUUGCACAAUGGGCGCAAGCCUGAUGCAGCAACGCCGCGUGAGGGACGAAGGCCUUCGGGUUGUAAACCUCUUUUCUGAGGGACGAGGAAGGACGGUACCUCAGGAAUAAGUCUCGGCUAACUACGUGCCAGCAGCCGCGGUAAAACGUAGGAGGCGAGCGUUAUCCGGAUUUACUGGGCGUAAAGCGCGCGCAGGUGGCUUCGUUAGUCGGACAUGAAAGCUCCUGGCUUAACUGGGAGAGGCUGUUCGAUACUGCGGGGCUUGAGGUUGGGAGAGGGACGCGGAAUUCCCGGUGUAGUGGUGGAAUGCGUAGAUAUCGGGAGGAACACCAGUGGCGCAAGCGGCGUCCUGGCCCACACCUGACGCUGAGGUGCGAAAGCGUGGGUAGCAAACAGGAUUAGAUACCCUGGUAGUCCACGCUGUAAACGAUGUCAACUGGGUGUCGGUAGUUUUACACUAUCGGUGCCGAAGCUAACGCG
rnacentral:rRNA from 1 species